AGGCAACAGGAAAUUCUACAAUCACACACCAGUGUAUCCUCUUCAGGUCUGGUCCCAUUUUACCAUAGCCGUCGUCCAGUGUAGUUAACUGGGGCUGUGGGCAUCUGCAAGAGAGAGACAAACAAGGAGUGAACAAGAGCCAUCUCAGUGGGUUGGUAGACGUGACCUCUGAAGGCGAUGCCAGGACGGACACUCCCGUGGCUGCCGUGGUAGGUUCCACUUCGGAGAGCUGACAGACCGGGCAAGCUGGAGAUUCAUCUUUGAUCGCCAGAUUGGACCAAAACAGAUGGAGGUCUCUUGAGCAGUCCGUUGACGGUGUGGCAGAGUGAAGAUGGGCGUUUGAAGGAGAGGGGCAGAUGGUAAAUCCAAACA